ensembl:lncRNA
GAUGUUAUUUCGGGCACAUUUUAAUGUAAGCUGUUGAUUGAUUUGUGGUUUUGUGCUACUGAGUUAUGCACUGCAGAGAACCGGGGCCUCUAUAGUGAGUGCAGUAGUGAGUCAGACAGACAGACAGACAGACAGGCAGGCAAGGAGGGAGAGAGGGAGGGGAUGGAAGGAAAGAGUCUUUUAAAAAAAACAUAGAGUUUCUUGGCAAGGGGAGGGCAGAGGAACACAAACUGUGGGUGGACCCCUGUGACAAUGUCAGGCACCUAAACCCUCCCUGGUUGAAAAACACUAGUACCAUCAAUGCUUACAUUGGUUGGUACUGCUGUAGAUCCAGGAGGCUGCUAUAGUUUAAGUUUAAUUCCAUGUAUAAUACAAGCUUUCGCUGAAUAAUACCAGGUGGACAAGGACUAGUCUGCUUAUCACAGGUAAAGAGGAUUCGUGUCCAGACCCUUUGCUGUUCCAGAUAGAAUAACCCGCAACGCCAAGCCAGGAAUGUCCGAUCCCACACCAGACAUUUGGGCCCAUCUAGACCAGACUGAGAGUGAUGGAUCGUCCGAACCGUCACCCCAGGCUUUGAGGAAGCCACCUGGGCAUCUGAAGUUGGCAUGCAGCCUUUCUAAAUUAGAAUGCGACCUGCUGGCUUCCCCUCAUUGUGAGGAUGACAGGCCUCUAGUUGGCCGGAGUGAAUCCCUGUCCAACUGUGCUGCUAAGAGGAAGGAAAUGGAGCAGAUGCCAUCGUUUGCCUCUGAAUGGGACGAGAUUGAAAGGAUCAUGAGUCUAAUUGCCGACAUCGAGAUCUCCAAGGAGCAUCAACCUGCAUCGGAAGGUAAAUAUAAGAUGUCAACAGAAUGACUUUGCAAACUGUGUAAACUUAUGGGUUAGGGAUUUUACAAUCUUACCACUCAAAAGCAAAAAUGACUUUUUCAUGCAAAACCUUUUUUGAUCAUCUUUUUUCUGUAGUGCAUAAAAGGGUUUUAUAAAUGUAUUUCUUCCAUGAAUUGAACAUCAGUGUGGUCAAGUGUUAUUUGGACCUCAGUUUAUCUUCUUAUGUUUUUGAUUUUAUGUUUAGCUUUUAUUUUUAUAUUUUUACUUUUGAUGUUCAAGUUUUACCAAUUUUGUUAUGUGUUGUGUGACAUAUUUCCAUUUAACUAAACUUACUUUUGUUUGUUAGUUGCCAAGUCUACAUUUAUUGUUUAAGUUUAAUAUUUAUAUUUUAUUGUAUUUCAGCUAUAUUUUUUUAGUUUUAGUUUUAGUAAAUUAUGACAGAAUUUUAAUUUUUGGUGUUCGAACUAACUUCAUACCAUGGAACUCAUCUCUAACUAUUUGAAAAUAAAUACAUGAAAUAUAAUUCUUUUUUUUUGGUAGAAUUUUAUGAUAUCAAAGCUAUAUAACCUAACAAAACAAUGGUAGUAAAGUUGCUGAGAAAGCAGUUAGAAGCAAUGCAUUUUUGUGUUGCAUGUUUUUUUUUUCUUUCCUUAAAGGAAACAAAUGUGUCUUUUAGCACACAUAAAAUAA